rnacentral:rRNA from 1 species
UAACACGUGGACAACCUACCCUCCGGACGGGUAUAAACCCGGGAAACUGGGUAUAAUCCCCGAUAGAUCUCGGUCGCUGGAAAGCCCCGAGAUCGAAAGCUCCGGCGCCAGAGGAUGGGUCUGCGGCCUAUCAGGUAGUAGUGGGUGUAGCGUACCUACUAGCCUACGACGGGUACGGGUUGUGAGAGCAAGAGCCCGGAGAUGGAUUCUGAGACACGAAUCCAGGCCCUACGGGGUGCAGCAGGCGCGAAAACUUUACAAUGCCGGCAACGGCGAUAAGGGGACCUCGAGUGCCAGGUUACAAAUCUGGCUGUCGUGAUGCCUAAAAAGCAUUGCAUAGCAAGGGCCGGGCAAGACCGGUGCCAGCCGCCGCGGUAACACCGGCGGCUCGAGUGGUAACCGUUAUUAUUGGGUCUAAAGGGUCUGUAGCCGGCCGGAUAAGUCUCUUGAGAAAUCCAGCAGCUCAACUGUUGGGCUUUCAGGAGAUACUGUCUGGCUCGAGGCCGGGAGAGGUGAGAGGUACUUCAGGGGUAGGGGUGAAAUCUUGUAAUCCUUGAAGGACCACCAGUGGCGAAGGCGUCUCACCAGAACGGACCUGACGGCAAGGGACGAAAGCUAGGGGCACGAACCGGAUUAGAUACCCGGGUAGUCCUAGCCGUAAACGAUACUCGCUAGGUGUCGGCCACGGUGCGACCGUUGUCGGUGCCGUAGGGAAGCCGUGAAGCGAGCCACCUGGGAAGUACGGCCGCAAGGCUGAAACUUAAAGGAAUUGGCGGGGGA